GACGAACGCUGGCGGCGUGCCUAAUACAUGCAAGUUGAGCGCUGAAGGUUGGUACUUGUACCAACUGGAUGAGCAGCGAACGGGUGAGUAACGCGUGGGGAAUCUGCCUUUGAUCGGUGGACAACAUUUGGAAACGAAUGCUAAUACCGCAUAAAAACUUUAAACACAAGUUUUAAGUUUGAAAGAUGCAAUUGCAUCACUCAAAGAUGAUUCCGCGUUGUAUUAGCUAGUUGGUGAGGUAAAGGCCCACCAAGGCGAUGAUACAUAGCCGACAUGAGAGGGUGAUCGGCCAAAUUGGGACGGGGACACGGCCCAAACUGCUGCGGGGGGGAGCAGUAGGGAAUCUUCGGCAAUGGACGAGAGUCUGGACGAGCAACGCCGCGGGAGUGAAGAAGGUUUUCGGAUCGGAAAAGUCUGUUGGUAGGGAAGAACGUUGGUGAGAGUGGAAAGCUCAUCAAGUGACGGUAACUACCCAGAAAGGGACGGCUAACUACGUG
rnacentral:rRNA from 1 species